rnacentral:rRNA from 1 species
UACGGGGGGGGCAAGCGUUGUUCGGAAUUACUGGGCGUAAAGGGCGCGUAGGCGGGCAAGCCAGUCUCUCGUGAAAGCCCACGGCUCAACCGUGGAACUGCGGGAGAUACUGCUUGUCUUGAGUCCGGGAGAGGAGAGUGGAAUUCCCAGUGUAGCGGUGAAAUGCGUAGAUAUUGGGAGGAACACCGGUGGCGAAGGCGGCUCUCUGGACCGGUACUGACGCUGAGGCGCGAAAGCUAGGGGAGCAAACGGG